rnacentral:lncRNA from 1 species
CCUGUACCUCACCCAGCAUCACAAGAUCUCUAACUUCAUGGUGCUUUGCAACACAAGUGGGUUGUUGACAAGGGAUAACAGCCAGAGCUCUGGACAAAGGAGGACUGAUUUUCAGUCAAAGCUAGAAUAUCUGGCUGAAGACCAUGGCAACCCAGGAUACGUCUGAUCUCAACUGCUCCACUGCAGUAUUUUUUCUCUUUUUGGUAUGACCUGGAAGCAUCAGACCUGCUUAAAGGUUUUGUGGUGUAACCAAGACUUGUUGUGAGAUUUUCUCCAUGAGAAAGUCAAGCUGACUCUUGAAGAAGGUAGAUGGGGAGAAAAAUAGUAACCCUUUCUGGGCUAAUGACCAGUUUGUUAUUGAACCUCCUGAGAAUGAAUUGUUGUUUCCCCCAUGCACUGCCCAGAGUAAAUCAAACUAUCUUCCACUAAACACAUCAAAUAGUCCAGAACAUUACAGAACAUCCCUUGGAUAUGGAGGAGUGAUUUGUAUGGCCCAAAGAUUGUUGGAUUUUCUGGCUUGACCUGGAUCUGUUGCAAGAUUUUCUCUGGUAGAAGUCAAGCCAGCCCUCAGAGAGGGUACUGGGAAGAGACACUGACCCCCAGUGGGUGACUGAAGGGUUUAACUGCUGAUGAAGAGUCAGUGGGGGCUCUCCCCUCAUGAGGAAAUUGUAAUAAUAAUUUUUCUCCUCCCAGUAUGGCCUUCCCUCAUAACAAUUGGCAUUACCCACAAGCAGAGGUGGAUGAAAUUACAAUUCUAACAAGAGAAUGUAAACUGAAAUCUGGCUAAGAAAAGGCAGUUUGUCCCAUUUUGGGUGCUGCCCUUAAAGGACUGCAAAAAGAGCCACAAACUACUCAGAAAUACGAGAGUGAACAUACAUAUAAGCACUGAUCAUUCACUCUUAUCUGCCCCAGAGGAUCUAUUAACAAGAACCUGAGGUACCCUCAGCUACAGGGCCAGGUUGUAACACCUUAUUUGUGGUAAAUCUGCAUGGAGAAAGGCUGAUGUAUGACAGAGACUCAAGGCCACAGUCCUGGAAAGAAUAAACACACACAAAUUAUUUGUUUCA